rnacentral:rRNA from 1 species
GGUACUCGAGUGGCGAACGGGUGAGUAACACGUGGGCAAUCUGCCCUGCACUUCGGGAUAAGCCUGGGAAACUGGGUCUAAUACCGGAUAGGACCUUUAGGCGCAUGUCUUUAGGUGGAAAGCUUUUGCGGUGUGGGAUGGGCCCGCGGCCUAUCAGCUUGUUGGUGGGGUGAUGGCCUACCAAGGCGACGACGGGUAGCCGGCCUGAGAGGGUGUCCGGCCACACUGGGACUGAGAUACGGCCCAGACUCCUACGGGAGGCAGCAGUGGGGAAUAUUGCACAAUGGGCGCAAGCCUGAUGCAGCGACGCCGCGUGGGGGAUGACGGCCUUCGGGUUGUAAACCUCUUUCACCAUCGACGAAGGUCCGGGUUUUCUCGGAUUGACGGUAGGUGGAGAAGAAGCACCGGCCAACUACGUGCCAGCAGCCGCGGUAAUACGUAGGGUGCGAGCGUUGUCCGGAAUUACUGGGCGUAAAGAGCUCGUAGGUGGUUUGUCGCGUUGUUCGUGAAAUCUCACGGCUUAACUGUGAGCGUGCGGGCGAUACGGGCAGACUAGAGUACUGCAGGGGAGACUGGAAUUCCUGGUGUAGCGGUGGAAUGCGCAGAUAUCAGGAGGAACACCGGUGGCGAAGGCGGGUCUCUGGGCAGUAACUGACGCUGAGGAGCGAAAGCGUGGGGAGCGAACAGGAUUAGAUACCCUGGUAGUCCACGCCGUAAACGGUGGGUACUAGGUGUGGGUUUCCUUCCUUGGGAUCCGUGCCGUAGCUAACGCAUUAAG